AGAUGGCUGUCUUUUGUGUUGUGAUGUGUAGUCUGGUAGAAGUUUACCGACGUUUCAGAGGUACUUGAGCCUCCAUCAUUUCUCUGAUGUGUACAGUACUCAUGCAAAGUGUUUAGUGCACAUAUUAGACGUGUAUAUUUAAACAGAUAUUAAUGUAUACAGGCAGCAAAUGCUGUUCGUAUGAAUCCAAACCCCAAUCACCAAGGCGACAGAGGUUGGGCACGGCACCUUACCACCCACAACAAACAAUUCACACAGCCACAAUCUGCAUUAUUUUGUCAAACUUCAGAAUCAGCACUUUAAAAGUCUUCAAAACUUAUUUUGAGAGAUCAAACCUGGGGCCUUGAGAAAGCUCUUUGGUGUAAUUACACUCAGCAAUGUCCCAGUAGGAAGACGAAGCAUUAAGAAAUGCACGACCUCUGAGUUCCCUGCAGCUAUCACCACCACGCUGUGAUCAUCAGUCACACGAUGUCGAUUGACAGUCCACUACAUCCACUGUUCAAGCAACUGAUGGUAAGAACUUAGUGGCGUCAGCCUUGAAGAUGGAGACAGUACGUUUUUUCCGAAACGUUGCCAUCUAUCGACGAGUCUACAAAGCGCCAAAAUCUGAAGAUCAUCUCAUCAUCCAGGCCGCCGUGAAAACCUCAAAGUUCACAUUAACAUUUAAUAUUCCCCAUGUUGGAAAAUUAAAUAAUGUUCGUGUUACGUCUGACGGGUAUAGAAAGAGUUUCAUUGAUAGGGAAAGCUUUCCACUGGAAUGAUGUAUUAAAAUAACAAACUGGUAAGAUUCCAGUUUGUUAUUUUUAUACAGUUUCUAGGAAUCAGUCGCAAACAGUUUGCUUAAAGUCUACUAAAUCGAUAUCAACUAGCGUCGUCAACAUAACACACAAUACAUCAAAGACAAUUACAUGUAAAGAAUUGUAACAAAUGGGCAUAUUUGUUGUAGAAUAGUCCUACUCGACUCAGUUUUAAACUUAUAUUGCUUUUUAAUCUGAAUUUCAAUUUAGUCUCAAACCUUUGUCAGUUUGUAACAUUCAUUUUAAAUUAAUUAGUUUAAAUUCAAUCUUAGCACCUAGUUGUCACAUUAUAGAAAAUUGGCCUGAAAAUUCUAUGUUAAUACUAAAACAUGUCGCAAAAAUAAAAAAGAAUAAUUUUAAAAAUAA